UAACCCAGACUCUCACCAGCUCAUUCAACUAUAAAUGCAGGAGUUUCCCAAUGGCUCAGUGUCCCCGCCCUCAGGCCCUUUUCCUUUGAUCCACUCUCCACACUGCUGCCAGGGAGCUUGCCAGAAGGCAGGUCUGAGCGUGCUGUGCCGCCAGUCUCCUCUGUGAAGGCCUUCAGCGGCUCUUCCCAUCAAUGGGAGAAAGUCCCCAUACCUGUCCCACUCUUACCAGACUUCCUUUCUCGGAACGUUCUGGGCUCCUUUGACACAUGCUUUCUCUCCUGUCCAGAUUUUCCUCUCUCAAACUUGGCCAUCUUCACAGAUGAUCUAUUGAACUCACCUUUCCAGGCUCGUGUUGAACAGUACUUCUUCUGUGAGACGUCUCCCAGGAUGGCAAAGUCUGCUCUCUGGACCCAGGAGCACAGAACCCAGAGCCGUUAUUGCUCAGCCAGGAGAUGCAACAGAAUCUGUAGAAUUUCGACAGAAUCUAUAAGGUCACCUAGUCAGUUAUGUACUUUCCUCCUUUAGGCUAUAAUUUCAAACACACCGUUUCACCUCACAGAAAGC
rnacentral:lncRNA from 1 species